rnacentral:misc_RNA from 1 species
AAGUCGUAACAAGGUUUCCGUAGGUGAACCUGCGGAAGGAUCAUUCAUAAUAAGUAUUUAUGGCACUUCUUAAAUCCAUAUCCACCUUGUGUGCAAUGUCAGCCGUUUUCUUUAUGAAAGCGGCCAAACAUCAACUUAUUUUUUAACUGUCUGUCUGAAAACUAUUAUGAAUAAACAAUUCAAAUACAACUUUCAACAACGGAUCUCUUGGCUCUC